AUUAUCUGAGCACAUUACAAGUACAUAUUUGCUUACUCAGUAUGCUCAAAUGUGACCCGUUAUAGCCAACAGAAAAAAAGCGGAGGCCCGAAAAACAGGUGGGGGUCCUCCACCACCACCACUCACAGAGGCUGAGCAGUUGGCCCCAGCCAAAACAGUGGGCGCCCUGUGGCUGAAGGCAUCUCUGCGGGGACAUCCUCUGAGUCAAUAACCCCGCAAGACACAAGUGCCUACAUAAGAGUUGAUGGUGAUGGUGUACUGCAUCUGGUGCAGCCUCCUGUUGAGCCAGACCAACAUGCAGUUGAACUUGAAGAAACAUUGACAGCUGUCACAGAGGAGGAAGCAACAGAGACACUUUAUGAGAGUGAUGAUGGAAAUGCAGAGGAAGAGGGUCCAGCCACUUCUCCAACAAACCUUUCCUCACUCCCUGUAAAGCAGCUGUAUAAGAAAUAUUUGAUCAAGAAAAUAGAAAAAUGCGACUUGGAAAUGGAACACUUCAAGCAGCAGAUCCAAAAGACCAAGAUUGAGAUUUUACUCCUGGAACAUCAGUUAAGGGUGGGUGAAGUGGUCAGAGAUGGACGAAUUAAUUCAGUGUUUGAACAACAUACUAAUAUACUUAUUAAUACUUUGUGUACAGGAAAUA